GAUGAACGCUGGCGGCGUGCCUAAUACAUGCAAGUCGAGCGAACGGACGAGAAGCUUGCUUCUCUGAUGUUAGCGGCGGACGGGUGAGUAACACGUGGAUAACCUACCUAUAAGACUGGGAUAACUUCGGGAAACCGGAGCUAAUACCGGAUAAUAUUUUGAACCGCAUGGUUCAAAAGUGAAAGACGGUCUUGCUGUCACUUAUAGAUGGAUCCGCGCUGCAUUAGCUAGUUGGUAAGGUAACGGCUUACCAAGGCAACGAUGCAUAGCCGACCUGAGAGGGUGAUCGGCCACACUGGAACUGAGACACGGUCCAGACUCCUACGGGAGGCAGCAGUAGGGAAUCUUCCGCAAUGGGCGAAAGCCUGACGGAGCAACGCCGCGUGAGUGAUGGAGGUCUUCGGAUCGUAAAACUCUGUUAUUAGGGAAGAACAUAUGUGUAAGUAACUGUGCACAUCUUGACGGUACCUAAUCAGAAAGCCACGGCUAACUACGUGCCAGCAGCCGCGGUAAUACGUAGGUGGCAAGCGUUAUCCGGAAUUAUUGGGCGUAAAGCGCGCGUAGGCGGUUUUUUAAGUCUGAUGUGAAAGCCCACGACUCAACCGUGGAGGGUCAUUGGAAACUGGAAAACUUGAGUGCAGAAGAGGAAAGUGGAAUUCCAUGUGUAGCGGUGAAAUGCGCAGAGAUAUGGAGGAACACCAGUGGCGAAGGCGACUUUCUGGUCUGUAACUGACGCUGAUGUGCGAAAGCGUGGGGAUCAAACAGGAUUAGAUACCCUGGUAGUCCACGCCGUAAACGAUGAGUGCUAAGUGUUAGGGGGUUUCCGCCCCUUAGUGCUGCAGCUAACGCAUUAAGCACUCCGCCUGGGGAGUACGACCGCAAGGUUGAAACUCAAAGGAAUUGACGGGGACCCGCACAAGCGGUGGAGCAUGUGGUUUAAUUCGAAGCAACGCGAAGAACCUUACCAAAUCUUGACAUCCUUUGACAACUCUAGAGAUAGAGCCUUCCCCUUCGGGGGACAAAGUGACAGGUGGUGCAUGGUUGUCGUCAGCUCGUGUCGUGAGAUGUUGGGUUAAGUCCCGCAACGAGCGCAACCCUUAAGCUUAGUUGCCAUCAUUAAGUUGGGCACUCUAAGUUGACUGCCGGUGACAAACCGGAGGAAGGUGGGGAUGACGUCAAAUCAUCAUGCCCCUUAUGAUUUGGGCUACACACGUGCUACAAUGGACAAUACAAAGGGCAGCGAAACCGCGAGGUCAAGCAAAUCCCAUAAAGUUGUUCUCAGUUCGGAUUGUAGUCUGCAACUCGACUACAUGAAGCUGGAAUCGCUAGUAAUCGUAGAUCAGCAUGCUACGGUGAAUACGUUCCCGGGUCU
rnacentral:rRNA from 1 species